rnacentral:rRNA from 1 species
AACGAACGCUGGCGGCAUGCCUAACACAUGCAAGUCGAACGGGAUCCGGACUUCGGUUCGGUGAGAGUGGCGGACGGGUGAGUAACGCGUGGGAACCUGCCCAGUGGUGGGGGAUAACUGCGGGAAACUGCAGCUAAUACCGCAUGAGCCCGAGAGGGGAAAGAUUUAUCGCCAUUGGGGGCCCGCGUUCGAUUAGGUAGUUGGUGGGGUAAUGGCCUACCAAGCCGACGAUCGAUAGCUGGUCUGAGAGGAUGAUCAGCCACACUGGGACUGAGAUACGGCCCAGACUCCUACGGGAGGCAGCAGUGGGGAAUAUUGGACAAUGGGGGCAACCCUGAUCCAGCAAUGCCGCGUGAGUGAUGAAGGCCUUCGGGUUGUAAAGCUCUUUUGCCAGGGACGAUGAUGACGGUACCUGGAGAAUAAGCCCCGGCUAACUUCGUGCCAGCCGCCGCCGUAACAC